rnacentral:rRNA from 1 species
GACGAACCGUGCGAACGUUGUUCGGAAUCACUGGGCGUAAAGCGCACGUAGGCGGAUCUUUAAGUCAGGGGUGAAAUCCUGGAGCUCAACUCCAGAACUGCCUCUGAUACUGGGGAUCUUGAGUCCGGAAGAGGUAAGUGGAACUGCGAGUGUAGAGGUGAAAUUCGUAGAUAUUCGCAAGAACACCAGUGGCGAAGGCGGCUUACUGGUCCGGUACUGACGCUGAGGUGCGAAAGCGUGGGGAGCAAACAGG